UGGACCAUUCAUUUUGAAAACCUUGUCCAUUGUGAAAGAUAAUCAGAGGAGAGAGAAAACACAAAUCAAAGAUGGAUCUGUACUCACCACUCCUUUCCUUUCGCUCUCUCUCUCUCUCUCUCUCUCUCUCUCUCUCUCUCUCAAAGAUUAAGAUUUUAGAUCUGGAUCUGGUCUAUUCACCGUAAGCUAUUGUUCCCGAGGAUCUGGACACCUUCCCUAAGAUGGUUGAAGAUGGAUCCCUAGCCGUCGCAUCUGGUGAAGACGAUGGUUUUCACCACAGAUCUUCUUUGGGUUUUUUUUUGUACAAAUUAUCCCUAAGAUGGUUGAAGAUGGAUUCCCAAGCCCUAACAAUGUCAUAACCGGAGCUCAUUGAUCAUGCCGAUUUGGACUUUUUAUUGAACACAGAAGAGAGAGAGAGAUAUAGAAAGAGAUAUCUGGAGUUAGAGAGAGAAAAGAGGAGCUACAAGAGGAGAGAGAGAACGGUGAUGCCAGCUGUUAGGGUUCCGGCCAUGAAACCGACUUUUCAUUUUCUGGUCUGGUGAAUCAGGAGAGCAAAUUCUUGAAGUUUUUAGGGUAUAUGCGGAACACAUUAUCAUGGGUUAUGGAAGCUGCUGCUAUUAUGGCGACUGCCAUUGCAAAUUGAGGAGGAAAGCCGCCUGACUGGCAGUCUUUUGUCGGUGUUAUCACUUUGCUCAUAAUGAACUCCACAUUUAGUUUCAUUGAAGCAAAGAACGCUGGUAAUGCAACAGCUCUCAUGGCCAGUCUUGCCCCAGGUUUUGAAUCUUGCACACAACAAAUCAGACAUAGAACACCAGUUCAAGGCGUCAUUGAUUAAUCUGCAGACAGACCGCUGGUUAAGGUCACUUGCUGUAGCAUACCAGUUCUAGAGGAGCAUUAGAAGAGUCCUGGAGGACCGUGGCAGUUCAUUGGGCUAAUGCUGCUCUUUGAUCCGCCACAUCAUGACAAUGCUGCAACUACAUGUUAUGUGGUGUUCAUCCACAAGUCAAAGGGGUCAGUGAUGGGUAUCCAUUACGACACACAGGUCGUUUACAGAACCGAUUUAUUUGGGUAUUGGGGACGGCAUCAGUUACAGGAUUCCUCCAUCUUAUGAAAUGUUGGCUACUACAUUAAACUUACCUAAAAUGUCGGAGAUUCAAGUGGAUGAGUUGUAUCUUAAAGGCACACUUGAUUUGGGCUCAUUAGCUUCGAUGAUGUCCACGGACAAGAAGUUUGGCCUAAGAAAUAGAGUAGGGUUGGGUGAGCCUAAACCCCAGUAUGAGUCUCUUCAGGCAAGAUUAAAGGCCCAAUCUAUAAACAACUCUCCCCAGAAGUUCAGUCUUAAAGUCAGCGAUAUUGCAUUUGAAUCGUAUUCUGUUCCAGAGAGAGCGGCUGAUGGAAUACGGCGUUCUUUCAUGUCAGAUAGUGGAACUCUGCAAGUUCACUAUGUGAUGGUGUUGGAGAAAGGUGACACAUAUGAGAUUAUUGAGCGUAGUUUGCCCAAGAAGCGUGUUAUUGAGAAAGAAGAGAUGGGAAAAAUCGGUAUAUAUUGGGUGAACAUGGUCAGACAAGACAUACCAAAACAUCAUAGGGAAAUCAGCUUUCAUAGAUAGCAGUUAACAGAUGCCAAGAGAUUUGUAGAAAACUGUCAACGUGAUGUAAAGAUGAAGGUGAGUAGAUCGCUUAAGUUGAUGAGGGGCGCUUCAAUUCGCACAAGGAAACUGGCAAGGGACAUGCUGGUCUUUUGGAAGAGAAUCGAUAAAGAAAUGGCUGAAAUAAGGAAAAAAGAAUAAAAAGAAGCUGCAGAAGCUUUGAAACGUGAACAGGAGCUUCGGCGCAGUGAGCGAGCGAGCGCAGCAAGCGCAGCGGCAGCGGCGUGGCGAGCGCAGCCGCGACAAGCGUAGCGGGAUGGUUAACAAAAAUGGCAAUAUGCGUGUAUGGGACUUGACUGCAAAUUCGUGCAGCUGUGAGCUGAUGCUAUUUGUGAUCUCAAAGCCAGAUGUUUUCAAGUCCCCUGCUUCAGACAUAUACGUAAUAUUCGGCGAAGAAAAAAUAGAGGAUCUGAACUCACAGUUGCAGAGUUGCAGAGUCAGGCAGCAGAGCAAUUCAAAGCACCUAACCUUAGCAAUGUGAUAUCGACGCCUGAGUUUGGCUCAGGACGAUGAGGAUGUAGACGAGACCGGGGUGGAGCCCAAGGACAUCGAGCUGGUCAUGACUCAAGCCGGGGUCUCAAGACCAAAGGCGGUCAAGGCGUUAAAGGCUGCGGAUGGUGACAUUGUAUCGGCCAUUAUGGAACUCACAACUUGAAAGUGAUUGACUCGCUGUCGAUUUGUUUUUGUUCCUGUAAUGUUUGAGAUUGUUUGAUCAUGUUGUUAUCUACUGUGCAUUGACAAUUGGGUCUUUGCUGAAUUUGAGGAUUUGAGGAAUGAUAAAGGAAAUGGUUUAUUUGAGAUGUGGUUGGGUGUUUGAUAUAGUUUUUGCAUUUUUAAAAU
rnacentral:lncRNA from 1 species